CCCCAUGAUAGAACAGAGAAAACCGACUCAUAGUGUGUUAAAACAUUUAUAUUUCUUUUUAUUCAAUCAUCUUCCGGAAGAGAGAGACCCCUGCACAGCCCAAAUGCCAGUUGCAGGAUCUCUAACAUUAGAAUCAUAAACUGUGUCUCAUAUAGGUAUUAUUUUGGUACUUUACACGUCACACAGUGUUCUGAAGGCAGGACUGUGAUGCAGUUUUCUGCCUCGCCACUAGAGGGCGCGGCCGUUUUGUGAGUAAUGUUUGACUGGGAUGGAAAAUGGUGUUCAUGAAGGCAGUGUGAAUCACAAGUUAUGCUCGGGAGCAGUUUAUGUGGGUUCAAUGAGAGUGUGCGUCCAUAAGACUGAACCACACACAUACCCACACCCACGCUAAAUCUGCCAUUAAAGAGCUGAACGAUCAUCCCCUGUCCUCGUUAUUUUCUGGAGGGUCAUAGUGGCACUUGACCUGUGCACACCCUGCGAUCACCACCACAACUGAACCUCAUAUCAGAAAUCAUCAUAACACACAGUUUCGAUACAAAAUUCCUUAUAUGGCAAAGUUCCUCUUUUCUGUCUGGCUUCCUGUAUUUAUUAAUAUGCUUGUAUAGCUCUACACUAACUUCCUGUUUUUCAGUCUGGCUGAGCACUUAGUUUAUGAGUCAAAAGUGGCCUUGCUUUGCAAACCUUCAUUAAUAAAGUACAAUAUAAUAAUAUAAUAAUAAACAAUAUAAUAAGAAAAUAAUUACAUGACACUGUCCAACAACCCAGAGAAGCCUACAUUAAAAAACAGUCCCAAGAAUAACUUUUCUCCUCCUGCUUGGUUUGUGUUGACUGCAGGGGUUGAUACACUCUCCCGAGCAUUGCAAUGGCAUCAUCAACAUUUUUUCUGCACAGACCUACAAUCAAGAAAGCAGACUGCUGGGCAGUAGAGCUGAUAUGAGAGAUCCUUGGGUCGUUCAUUACUUGAAUAUUAAAGCAUUGCAGGGCAUAAGCUGACACUGUAAAGUGGUUAAAACAACAGAACACAGUGAGCUUGUUGAGUACAAGGCGAAUGUUGGUGAGACGCUGGAGAGGAUGGGACGAGGCAGCAGUCUUAACCCCUUGGAGGAUGGCAUGUGCCACAGAAUCGGGGUCCAAUCCACCAGAUCCUGGACAACCAUUCAAACAAAACUCCAUAACUAACUUUGUUGUUUUAUGCAUCUUUAAUGACUCCCACACUACUCACCAGCACAGAUGGCAGGAACAGCCAAAGACUUGUAAUCAGAAGACUCACAAAGUUGAAUGAUGCGACGAAGCAGCUGCUCGAUGGCAACUGUAUCUUUUUCUCCACACACGUGUAAAAUGGCUUUACAAGGGAACAUGCCAGGCGGUGUUUCCAAAAUCUCUCCACUGUUCACUUUUCCUGCAUGGAUGCGAUAAAGACACAUGAGAUGAUACGAAUUGUUAGAAAUGAUUUACGAUGUAAAUAUAAAUUUGGAAAUAUUUCUGAGAAUCAUUCUUCUCACUGUUUUUUAGUGCAGCCUCAACCUGAGGCCCAGCCUUUCUUAAGAUGUCUUUGCACACUCCAUCUGUACAUAAAUAAUAAUAAUAAUAAUAAUAAUAAUAAUAACCAUCACUGAAAUUGUUGUAAUGCAAAUGGACUGUAAAGGCCAGUCAGUGCUCCUACAAUAUCCUCUUUAAUACACAAUGGGUCUUGUCUAAUUUAUCGUGCUUGGAUGGUGUUCAGCAAUGAGUAACUUUUGUUUACUCAUGACAGU